ACAGAAGGACGUCUGCCUCUGACUCAGUAUGUCACAUUUAACAAGAGGCCAGAGCUUGUCCAAAAUGGCUGUCCAAAAACGACCCCACACUUGCGUUAGAAGAUGAUACCUUUUUCAGGGACAGUUUUCUCUCUUGGCUCCUGUCCCGCUGGCCCUCUGUCUGCCUGUGUCCCUGACCAUGGCUCCCUGCAGUACCCUUUAACGAUUUAUCAGUAAGACUGUUGAGCGCAUAACUGCCCAAGAUGCCUGUCCCUCCCCCUCCAGCACCACCGCCACCCCCGACGUUUGCACUGGCCAAUACAGAGAAGCCUACUUUGAAUAAGACAGAGCAGGCUGGGAGAAAUGCUCUCCUUUCUGAUAUCAGCAAAGGGAAGAAACUAAAGAAGACAGUCACCAAUGACAGAAGUGCACCAAUAUUGGACAGUAAGUAAAAAAAGGCUAUUUACCAUGGAGAGGAACGGUUUAUGGCCUAAUAAUCAACCUAACCUCACCCCUCAAUUUUUUUUUUUUUUUUUUUUGGUUAACAACAGCUGCAAAGCUAGCAAAAUAAGGGACUGUAUCACUCCCUGUAGGCCACAACUUUGGCUUGG
rnacentral:sRNA from 1 species